CCUACGGGAGGCAGCAGUAGGGAAUAUUGCACAAUGGACGAAAGUCUGAUGCAGCCACGCCGCGUGAAUGAAGAAGGCUUUCGGUACGUAAACCUCUAUUUGUAGGGGAGAAAAGUAGAGUACGUAACUUGCCUUUCUUUGACGGUAACUAUUUAGAACGUCUCGGCGAACUACGUGACAGCAGCUGCUGUGAUACGUAGGUGGGAAGCGUUGGCCGGAUUUAUUGGGCGGUAAGGGAGUGAAGGCGGUUCAAGAAGUCUGAUGUGAAAGCUUUCGGCUCAACCGGAGAAUUGCAUUUGAAACUGGUUAACUGGAGUGCAGAAGAGGAGAGUGGAAUUCCUGGUGUAGCGGUGGAAUGCGUAGAUAUAUGGAAGAACACCAGUGGCGAAGGCGGCUUACUGGACUGCAACUGACGCUGAGGCUCGAAAGCGUGGGUAGCAAACAGGAUUAGAUACCCUUGUAGUC
rnacentral:rRNA from 1 species